rnacentral:lncRNA from 1 species
UGAGGAUCGACGCUUUUGCCAGGUUUUUAAGAAAAAUGAGCCAACCUGUAGUUUGAGGGCACAUCCGCCACAUAACUGGGGAUCCAGGUGGCGCACGUUGGUGGCAUGUAUAGAACUGGUUGGAUAAUCCCCCCCUUCUGCAACCUGCAAAUUUAAGCGUGCAAGAAAAUUUGAGGAGUGUGGAGACUGGGGGGGAGGGGACCACAAGCUGGGCACCAACCACAAAGAGAGCAGCUGAAAAGGAAGGAAAGAUCAUCCAGUCGUUGG